ensembl:lncRNA
CCCUCCUUCCUGCCCCCCCCCUUCCCUCCCAUUUGUUCGCAUUGCUGCCAGGGCUGCGUGUCACAGCGUGCGCAGCGUGUCACGUGUGCGGUGUGUCAUGUGUGUGCCGUGUGUGCCAUGUGCUGCAUGUCACAGCAUGUGCUGCGUGUCACGUGUGUGCUGUGUGUCAUGUGUGUGCUGCAUGUCACAGUGCGUGCGCCGUGUCACGUGUGUGCAGCGUGUCACGUGUGCUGUGUGUGCCGUGUGCUGCAUGUCACGGUGUGUACCGCAUGUGCCGUGCCUCAUCACUGUGUGCUGCGUGUCACGUGUGUGCUGCGUGUGCCAUGCGCUGUGUCACAGCGUGUGCUGCGUGUGCCGUGCAUCAUCCAUGUGUGCAGUGUGUCACGUGUGUGCUGCAUGUGCUGGGUGCUGUGUGUCACAGAGUGUGCUGCGUGUCACGUGUGUGCUGUGAUUGCUGGGUGCUGUGUAUCAGCAUGUGCUGCGUGUGCAUCAUCCAUGUGUGCUGUGUCACAUGUGUGCUGCAUGUGCCACGCAUCAUCACCGUGUGCUGCAUGUCGUGUGUGUGCUGUGUGUGCCAUGCAUCAUCCAUGUGAGCUGCGCGUCUCAGUGAGCUGUGUGUCACAGCGUGUGCUGUGUGCUGCGUGUCACGUGUGUGCUGCGUGUGCCGUGCAUCAUCACCGUGUGCUGUGUCACAGCGUGUGCUGCGUGUGCCGUGCAUCAUCCAUGUGAGCUGUGUGUCCCAGAGUGUGCUGCGUGUCACUGUGUGUUGCUGCGUGUGCCGUGCGCUGCGUGUCACAUGUGUGUUGCGGGUGCCAUGUGCUGCAUGUCACAGCGUGUGCUGCAUGUUACAGCGUGUGCCGUGUGCUGCGUGUCACGUAUGUGUUGCGUGUGCCAUGCAUCACCAGUGUGAGCUGCGUGUCGCAGCGUGUGCCACAUGCCAUGCAUUGCUGUGUGCCAUGUGCUGCGUGUGCCACGCGUGUGCUGCAUGCCGCGCUGCAUGCUGUGCUGUGUGCUGCAUGUCACCCACGUGUGCCACGUGCCAUGCAUCAUGCCGUGUGGUGUGUGCCAUGCGUGUGCUGCAUGUUGCGGUGCAUGCCCUGCUGCGUGUCAUGUGCCACGUCACGUGUGUGCUGCAUGUCACGUGUGUGCUGCACGCUGGGCCGUGUGUCACAACGCGGGCUGCAUGUCACGUGCUGCGUGUGCUGCAACGUGUGCUGCAUGCCAUGCACUUGGUGCUCCAUGCAUGCUGCUGUGUGUGCCGUGUGCUGCGUGCCAUGCAUCAUGCCAUGUUGCGUGUGCCAUGUGCCGUGUGCCAUGUGUCAUGCCAUGUUCUGCGUGCUGUGUGCUGCGUGCCAUGUGCUGUGCCAUGCGUCAUGCUAUGUUGUAUGUUGUGUGCUGUGUGUCAUGCGCCAUACCAUGUUCUGUGUGCCAUGAGCUGCAUGCCAUGCAUCGUGCUAUCUUAUAUGUGCUGUGUGCCAUGCAUCAUGCUGUGUUGUAUGUUGUGUGCCGCGUGCCAUGCACCCUGCCAUGUUCUGCGUGCCAUGUGCUUUGUGCCACGUUCUGUGUUCCGUGUGCCGCGUUGCAACGUGUGCUGCGUGUUGUGCAUCGUGUGCCGUGCACCGUGUGCUGCGUGCCACAACACCCGCGUGCCGUGUGUUGCGUGCUGUGUGCUGUGUGCUGCACGCCAUGCAUUGCGUGCCGCGUGCCGUGCACCGUGUGCGCCGUGCUGUGCCGCGUGCUGUGUGUCACACGCAGAUCCGUGCGCCGUUCCGUGUGCUGUUCUGUGUGCCGUGCGCCGUUCCAUGCGUGCUCUUCUGUGUGCUGCUCCAUGCACCAGUCCCUGUGCACCAGUCCAUGCACCAUUCCAUGCACUGUUCCAUGUGCACCAGUCCAUGCACCGUUCUCUGCACCAUUCCAUGCACUGUUCCAUGCACCAUUUCAUGUGCACCAUUCCAUGCACUGUUCCACAUGCACCGUUCCGUGUGCACCAUUCCACGCACCAUUCUGUGCACCAUUCCCUGUGCACCAUUCCAUGCACUGUUCCAUGCACCAUUCCAUGUACGCCAUUCCAUGUGCACCAUUCAGUGUGCACCAUUCCAUGUGCAGCAUUCCAUGUGCAGUGUUCCAUGUGCACCAUUCCAUGCACCGUUCCAUGCACCGUUCCAUGCACCAUUCUAUGCACCAUUCCCUGUGCACCAUUCCAUGUGCACCAUUCAGUGUGCACCAUUCCAUGCACUGUUUCGUGCACCGUUCCAUGCACUGUUCCAUGUGCACCAUUCCACACACACCAUUCUAUGCGCACCAUUCCAUGUGCACCAUUCCAUGUGCACCAUUCCAUGCACCAUUCCAUGUGCACCAUUCCAUGUGCACCAUUCCAUGCACCAUUUCAUGUGCACCGUUCCGUGUGCACCGUUCCACGUGCACCGUUCCAUGCCAUUCCGUGUGCACGGUUCCGUGCACGGUUCCGUGUUGCACCCCUUGACCUCUCUCCUCUCUCCCCUCCACAGCACUGGUGCAAAAAGGUGGGUGUGAGAGCACAUGUGUGUGAGAGCACGUGUGUGUAAGAGCACGUGUGUGUGAGAGCACGUGUGUGAGUGUACAUGUGUGAGUGCACAUGUGUUUGGGAGGGUGCGUGUGUGUGAGUGCAGGCAUGUGUGAGUGCAUGUGUGUGUGAAAGCACAUGUGUCUGAGUGCACGUGUGUGAGCAUGUGUGUGUGAGUGCAUGUGUGAGUGCACAUGUGUGUGAGUGUACGUGAGUGCAUGUGUGUGUGAGAACGUGUCUAAUUGCAUGUGUGUGAGAGUAUGUGCGUGAGAGCACAUAUGUGAUAGCACGUGUGUCUGAGUGCACGUGUGUGUAAAAGCAUGUGUGUGUGAGAGCACAUGUGAGAGCACAUGUGUGUGAAUGCAUGUGUGUGAGUGUGUGUGUGGGUGAGCACGUGUCUGCGCAUGUGUGAGUGCACAUGUGUGUGAGUGCACAUGUGUGAGUGCACAUGUGUGUGAGUGCACAUGUGUGAGUGCACGUGUGUGUGAGAGCACAUAUGUGGGUGCACACAUGUGAGUGUGUGAAUCCAUGUGUGUGAGAGCACAUGUGUGUGUGCAUGUGUGUCUGUGUGUGUGUGAGUGCAUGUCUGAAUGCAUGUGUGUGAGUGCACACACGUGUGCGAGUACCCAUCUGUGUGUGUGUGCUCACGUGUGCGUGUGAGUGCAUGCGUCUGUACAUGCAUGUGUGUGCGCACAUGUGUGUGAGUGCACACGUGUGUGUGAGUGCACGUGUGAGUGCGUACAUAUGUGUGUGUGUGUGUGUGUGUGUUCAUGUAUGUAAGUGCACAUGUAUGUGUGCACGUGUGUGAGUGUGCGUGUGCCCCCCAUGUCACACCUCACCCUGCACUACAAUAGGGGCAGCUGUGGGGCACACUGGGAUCUGUGGGGCACACCUGGGGUCUAUGGGGCACACUGGGAUCUGUGGGGAUCUGUGGGGCACACUGGGAUCUGUGGGGCUCAAUGGGAUCUGUGGGGCACACUGACAUCUAUGGGGCUCAGUGGAAUCUGUGGGGCACACUGGGA